GGGGGCGUACUGGUUUCGACGGGGGUAUGGAGCUAGAAGUAGCGAGCCGUGUUUUGCCUUUGGUACACGUUAAAAAACUGGGCAAUUAAAUAUAAACGCUGAUAAUAAUAAUUACGCUUUAGCUGCCUAAUUGCAGCUACGUCCCUCCUAGGCCUACCGGCCGCUUAGGACUGGACGACACUAUGCCGGGAACCGCUAUUAGGGUUGUCUCGACCUACUAGCGACUAAUUGAGACUGGUCAGAAGGAGAGCCUGUCAUUGGGCGCUCUAGAUGGCGAGAUAACAAAACAAUGACUGCACUCGGAGAAGCUUGUAGUAAAAUACUUCCGGACAGGGGUUCGACUCCCCUCGCCUCCACCA
rnacentral:tmRNA from 1 species